UUUCCGCCCGCGGCUUCGCCCGCGUGGAAUUUUGUCUGUCACAGAAAAACUUUAUCGCGCGCGUCCCUGUUUCAAAAACCGGGAUAAAAACUAUCCUAUGUUCUUUCCCGGGACUCAAACUAUCUCUAUGCCAAAUUUCAUCAAAAUCGGUUGCGAGGUUUAAGCGGGAAAGCGUAACAGACAGACAGACAGACAGACAGACAGACAGACAGACAGACAGAGUUACUUUCGCAUUUAUAAUAUUAGUUGGGAUUAGUUGGGAUUUAGAAGUUUUGAAAAAGUUUGGACUUAUUGAGAGUACUAUGUUAUGAAAUUAUUGUAGUCCUACAUAACUUAAACAUAAUUAAAUUUUAAAUAGAAGGAGAAAUAAAACAACAAGUAUAAUUUAGUUAUUAAGCUAUUAUAAUUACUUAUAAUUUAUUACCAAAUCAAUAAAUAGUCAUGGAAAAUAGUGAAACUAUUAUUAAUAUAUUUUAUGUUCUAAUGCCAUAAAUUAUUGUUAACUUCUUAAUUUAUUUGAAAUAUUUGUCUGGAUGUUAAAAUAUGUUUAUGUCUAGUGUUAGUUGUAGACUGUAGUGUACUUGUAUUUCACUUGAAAGUCUGUUAUCUUUAUGGAUAAUAAACAUUAAUUAUUAUCUGUAAUGUAAUGGUUAUUUUAUUUAUUGUAGCAUAACUUAACAUAGUUUCGGUGGUAUGUCUUCAUAGAACAUUAUUUAGAUAGCAAAAACAAGACCACCUGUAUUUAUAUUACAUAUUUACUUGGCCUUUUAGAUUAAUUAAAGUUCUGAGACUUCUGAGCACAAGUAGUGUAAUUCAAGUUACAGCUGUGAUUUCAGGCAAAUUAAGCAUUUUGCUUGGUAGCUGAAACCUUUAAA